GCGCUUGUAGCUCAGUGGUUAGAGCAGUGGACUCAUAAUCCAUUGGUCGUAGGUUCAAGUCCUACCAGGCGCACCA
rnacentral:tRNA from 2 species